AAAUAUGAAGUAAAUAAUUACAAUUAGUUUCGACCUAAUAUUAGGUAUCAUUAUACCCUUAUUUU
rnacentral:tRNA from 1 species